GGGUCUGUAGCCUAGUAGGUAAAGGAAUCACUCUGGUAUGUGAAUCAGCAUUGCUGAGGUUGUGAGUUCAAAUCUCACCAGACACA
rnacentral:tRNA from 2 species